CCUCCUUUCUAAGGAUGAGUGAAAGUAAAAUUUCAUUCUAAAUAAUAUACAUCGGUAAUGUUGACCGUCCUCAUUUCUCUUCUUAAAGUAAUGUUUCCUUCUUGUAGGGCCGGUAGCUCAGUUGGUUAGAGCACACCCUUGAUAAGGGUGGGGUCGAAAGUUCGAGUCUUUCUCGGCCCACCAAUAACCUAAAUGGGGGGUUAGCUCAUCUGGGAGAGCGCCUGAUUUGCAUUCAGGAGGUAGCAGGUUCGAUCCCUGUAUCCUCCACCAGGAAACAUUUAGUUAUUAAAAUUGUAAAUAAAAAUAAUUUAUAUCAAUAUCUAUAUCCGAACAUUAAAAGUUAUUAUUUAAUGUUCAAAAUAAAAAUUUGAUCACAACAUAGAUUAAUUUUCUUUAAAAAGAAUUUUUUUCUGUGCAUAAAUCAAGCGUUUAAGGGCGUGUAGUGGAUGCCUGGGCACUGAAAGCCGAUGAAGGACGUGAUAUACUGCGAUAAGUUUCGGGGAGCUGUAUGUAAGUUUUGAUCCGAAAAUUCCGAAUG
rnacentral:misc_RNA from 1 species